AUACGUUCUAGGGUGAUUCUUUAAUGUUAUAUUAAUUAUUCAUCUAUCAAGACGACCAAUUUUAUUUUAUUUUCUACCUUCAGGAGUGUUCAAAUACCUCCCAGAACAACAGAGUGAGAGAAAAGAGGGCUCACUAUGGAUUUAAGGUCAGCAGCAAGAGGAUUUCUAGCUUUCCUUCUGUCAGUACCAGACAACUUCCAUCAUCGGACAAUCAUACAGUAAAACCAUCCUCCAUCCCUCCCUCCAUCUCUCCCUCUCUCCACAUUAAAAAAAAACACUGAAAAUACCUGCAGUAAACAACCAGAAGAGCUGGAGCACGAGUGCUUUCCGAAUCAGUUAUGAUAUUGUUGGGAAAAAAUCAGAUACAAUUUAUCAAAUUACCAAGUCAUGAAAAAUAUAAAUAAAAAGUUGGGCUUAUUAUUA